GACAGAGGGUGCAAACGUUGUUCGGAAUGACUGGGCGUAAAGCGCAUGUAGGCGGCCUCGCAAGUCGGGUGUGAAAGCCCUGGGCUCAACCCAGGAAGUGCACUCGAAACUGCAAGGCUUGAGUCCCGGAGAGGAAAGCGGAAUUCUCGGUGUAGAGGUGAAAUUCGUAGAUAUCGAGAGGAACACCGGUGGCGAAGGCGGCUUUCUGGACGGCGACUGACGCUGAGACGCGAAAGCGUGGGGAGCAAACAGG
rnacentral:rRNA from 1 species